rnacentral:rRNA from 1 species
AUGACCUUCCUGGACAUGUUUUGUUGCUAUCAAUAUUUGUCCCAUGUUUUGUUUCCUUGCAUACUUAUUACCACAAUCUUUACUACUGCUAUUGUGAUAUCUACUAGUUGUGGUUCCCUCAAAUUGACUAGUUUUGUAGAAUAUCUCUGUUCACAUGUACACUACAACACCUUUGUACUAGUGUUGUUGUUUGUUGUUGUUUGGCAAACACCAGAGGCAAAUCAUAUUUGUCAUGCAGUUUUUGUAACUUGGCAUUUCUAUAUGGCUUGUUUAUAUUACUCCCUCCAUUCCCUUAUACAAGGCCACUAUCAAAAAUACAUUUUGCAUCAAUACAAGGCCACCAACAGUAACCGAGACAAAAAUUAA